UCCAACUAAACUAGUACCGUGUUUUCCUCGUUAAUAAAAAGCCUAGCGAGACCUCCAACGCUACUGCCACCUGUCGCAUUGGAAGACCAAUAACAAGGCCCACAACGGUUUGCCAUGUAUACUAAACCCAUUCGUUUGUUGAACCGUAUGAAUAAUAUCUGAUUCUGAGCCCGCUGUUUGCAGAGUAGCUCUGGGCUGCAUAUUUCAGAAUAUUACCACAGCGCUUCCUGUGGUAACGUUAGCCUGCCCGGAACGACCUUUAAGAGUAUUUCUCGUGCGAGAGGGGAGGCUCAUUCGCCGCUGCCAGUCCUAAGAUUAUUAUCAUUAAGAGGAGGCAAAUAAAAUGAGGAGGAUCACACUUAAGUGAAAUCUGUUGAAGUUGUAUCCCGGAAAAUCCUCAGGCAGCCAGGUAUGAGAACUGCAACCAUGUGAGGGAGGUAAAAAAAGCUCAUCAAGACUUAAGGGAUGACAAAUUCCACCAUCUGCGCGUGGAUCCUGCGCCGACGCCGGUGCACGAACGGCGAGGAAAAAGUUUGAGACACAAGCGCAUGAGAGAAAGUUUUGACGGAGGCAACCAGGUGUGGGAAAGUCAGCGUGGAGGCGACGCAGAUGACGUAAGGACACGGCAGCGAGCGAGGCCUUUCUGGGAGAGAUAAGGCCGGCGCUGGCGUGACGCCUGUCACCAUACGUGCACGCUUUGUGUACACACGGGGUGUUAAGAGCUGUCACACAGGUAUGGCUCAGGCUUGAUCUGAGCCGUGAUUGAUCGCUCAGGUUCAGGUGGAGUUCACGGGAGGUCUCUGGUAUCACCGGCAAAAUGAGUGACAGACACAAAAUGGGGUGAUGGAAUAUUAUCAGGAAGCCAUUUGUAAUCCGGGGCGAGCCUGCAUCUCUGAGGGGUGUUGUCUCUCUGAAAUGAAGUCAUCCAUCACCUCAACUUCAUAUUUGAUUAGGUCAUGAGUAGCUUUUAAAGAGAAAGAGAGGCUUUUAGUAUUGUGGCCUCACAGUCUGAUAAACAAAGUUGGAGGCUGCAGAGUAAAAUUUUGAAUGGGAAUUUUAAUUUAUGGAUUUUACUGAGGUGUGUAAGACGUACAAAAAGCAACUGAGUGAAAGCGUUAAAAAAAACUCCCUCAAUGCUGACAGUUUUGGUUCUGUACCUUUUAAACUGUAGUAAAAUAAAAAGUACUUCUACUACUGAAGCAUGGAAAUACCUGCUAGAAUAGAAGUAAAAUACUUAUUUAUGUGCUUUUGGGGAAUGACAUUAAAUUAGAAUUUAAAUGAUUUAUUAAUUCAUCAAUCAACAGAUAAAAAUGAUCUGCAAAUAUUAUAUAUAUA